rnacentral:lncRNA from 1 species
CUGUGGGCAGGCCUUUUUAAGAAUAGCGUGCCGACGUGUACUUGGUGUUAGUUCCUUUUGCUCCCUCCUUGCAGGAAGCCCCAGCCAGAGUCUUUUUCUCCACCAUUUACUAGGAGAACUUGGUCAGACUCCUGGAGGUGAAACUCAUGGAUGCAUGGAGAGGCCCAUCUCUGACUGGGUCCCCUUGGAGGCUGGAAUCCUUGAACUUGUCUGCUCUGAGCCUCCAGCAAUAUAAUUUAUUAAUUACAGUUCGGGCUUUUUUUGUUUGUUUGUUUUUACUCUGGGACCAGUUCUGAGGGAGUUUCAGCUCAUGUGUUUCUGCUCUGAAGAAUCCAAAGGCGGCGCAUGUAAAUGGAAUAUGGUUUGCUAACCUGGGAAGGCUAUGCCAAGCAGAAAUUCAAUCCAGUAGCCUCCUGGUCCAGCCCAUCCUCAGGAGCUGUGAGAAUACUUUACUUUCUCGUUUCUGACCGCCCUGCACGUACAAGGAACCAGCUAUCCUGCAUCAUCAGAAUUGCAAAGAGAGUAUGCCUCAAUAUUUUAUGGUUCAAACUGCUGUAAUUUCCAAAAAUGCUAAAAGUUGCCUCUGUGCACCCUUUCAAAACCAAACAUCUGUCUCUGGAGCCUGAAACACAGCGGGGGAUGGGAGGGUAAACGUAGCUUGGGUGACAGUAGGCCCUUUGGCUGGCUUCUUCUUUCUAAGUGGUGCCUUUUAUGGUGAUAUACUGACAUGAUGGUUUUUAAGGUUAUGAAAAUAAAAAUUCUAGUGGAAGGCUUUCAACACAAGAUUAUGACACCCUGAGAAAAUUUAGUCAAAGAUGGUGCCGCCUUGUUGCUUCCUCCUAUAAACCGUUUAUGGAGGCAUUAUAUAGCAAAAGCCUGUUUCACCUGUUGUUAGAAUUUUGUUAAGUCUAGGUGUCGUUUUUUUCCCUGGAAUUGGUCAUAGUAGGAAGAAUCAUGUUUUUCAGAGGUGCGUUUGGGCUUGAUAGCAUUCUGAUGAGUCCACAAUAUUCAUCAUCAACCUAGAGACACUCAAAAUACACAAAAUGAUUAUGCAAGAAGAUGCUUGUGCAAUAAAUGUACAGCUUUGCCAUGAAUAUAUGACUGCCCCUGGGUUCUCCCACCACUGAAUUGCCUCUCUUGCAACCAGAUUGCUCUUCAUAAACUCCCCAGGGGAAAUUCUGGAGCACCGUGGUCCAGUGCCUCUCCCUUUUGCAGAGUUUUCAAGCAAAAAGAACUACUGAUGAUGCCGUACUAUUCUUACCUAGGUUAAGCGAUGAAAAACCCUGUGUUUUGCAGCCUGAUGAGGUCCUCCGAAAUGAGGUGAAGUUUGUCACUGCACAUUUUUCCUGUAGUUGACUCCAGGCCUAUCAGUGGAGAGGAACAGCAGGUCUGACUUGACACUCAGGGUACACAUUUUUAAAUAAGUAACUUCAUGUGAUUGCAUAUAUAUUUAAGGUCACAUCUUCCUCCUUGGAUUCUCUAAAUUCUUUCUUUGCUCUGAAUUUAAGCUCUUCCUUGCCCUCCAGCAGAGCUUUGGCACCUGAGAGCAAUGAACUCAGUGCAAAAAGCAGAAGGCUCUCUGUCCUGAGGCUCCCCAUGGCUAUAAGACAAUCUUUUCCAACCAUUUCUACUGCUCCCAACUUCCACUUAACACACUUCUCAUAAUUGUAGGCAUUCAUUUCCACUGUUUUUUGAAACAAAUUUAAGUAUUUCUUGACCUUCCAUAAAGUAGG